AGAGACGGCCAGCCAGAAACAACCAUUUCCCAACCCCCAACAGGCGCCCUUCGCCAGCCCGCGCCAGAGCCCGACGACCCCGUCUGUCGCCGCAUCUCCACGCCCCUGCCUUUGUCUCCUGAGGUUGGGCACUUCCUUACAAGGUCACAGGAUCCUCCCACGUCCUCCGAACCUUAUGGAUUAAAAAAAAAACUUACACAAAGGAAUGAACAGAGUGAUAAAGACACAAGAAAAUGAGCAACAGAGUGGUUAAGAGUGAACAAGUGAACAGACUUUCGCAUGGUAAAGGAUAAAGAACAAAAUAGAGGAUAAAGAAGGAUGAAGAAGUAGGAAGAAGAGUGAAGAGGAACCGGUGAAUAAUCGCCAAAAGACACACUAUAGGAGGGAGAUCCACCAACGCGGGAAGGGGGCGUGGCUUCCUUAAAUCAACACGAUGGGAUGGCGUGUGAUGAGUUUGAUGUGUGCGUGCAGCGUGAAUC